GCCCCCUUGGUGGAAUGGUAGACAUCAGGGACUUAAAAUCCCUUGGCCGCAAGGCCGUGCCGGUUCGAGUCCGGCAGGGGGCA
rnacentral:tRNA from 1 species